UUGUGGUUUAAUUCGAUGAUACGCGAGGAACCUUACCUAGGGCUUAAAUGUAGAUUGCAUGAUGUAGAAAUACACUUCCCUUCGGGGCUAUUUACAAGGUGCUGCAUGGUUGUCGUCAGCUCGUGCCGUGAGGUGUCGGGUUAAGUCCCAUAACGAGCGCAACCCUUAUCGUUAGUUGCCAGCGGGUCAAGCCGGGGACUCUAGCGAGACUGCACGUAAGGUGAGAGGAAGUGGAGAUGACGUCAAAUCAGCACGGCCCUUAUGUCCAGGGCUACACACGUGUUACAAUGGCCAGUACAAAGGGCAGCUACCGGGUGACCGGAUGCUAAUCUCGAAAGCUGGUCUCAGUUCGGAUCGAAGUCUGCAACCCGACUUCGUGAAGUUGGAUUCGCUAGUAAUCGCGCAUCAGCCAUGGCGCGGUGAAUACGUUCCCGGGCCUU
rnacentral:rRNA from 1 species